rnacentral:tRNA from 1 species
UAGCUUAGUUGUAGAACGUGUGGCUUUUAAUCAUGUGGUCGUGGGUUCGAUCCCCAC